GUGCUUGCUUUGUCAGUACAUGUACUGAUACUAGGAUGAUACAGGGAAGCUUAGCAUGGCCCUUUCACAAGGACAAGAUACAAAUAAAGAAAGUGUUCCAUAGUAUG